UGCCUUUUGAGCUUAAAAAUAAAAGGUCCAUCCUGCCCAGUGACCUACGGGUUAAACGGCCGCGGUACCCUGACCGUGCUAAGGUAGCAUAAUCACUCGCCCUUUAAUUGUGGGCUUGUAUGAAUGGAUAAACGAGGGAAAAACUGUCUCCUUAAUUUUAAUAAAAUUUGUACUUUAGGUGAAGAUCCCUAAAUAUAAUUAGAAGACAAGAAGACCCCAUAGAGCUUUAUUUUUACACCACCUAUUACAAAAUAAAUUUAUAUCUUAUUAUACUGACUAAUAAUUUAGCUGGGGCGGCUAAGGAAAUCAAUCUUCCAUUAUUAAUUCUAACAAGGUUUAUACACCUAUUAAAUAGACCCUUAUUGACCUAAAAACAAGCUACCUUGGGGGUAACAGAUUAAUCCUUCUUAAGAGUCCACAUUAACAGAAGGGCUUGACACCUCGAUGUUGGCUUAAGGUCCCCUUAGGGUCAGCAACAGCCCUAAUAGGUAGGUUUGUUCAACCUUUAAAACCUU
rnacentral:rRNA from 1 species